CAAGGAAGGAGAAACUACAGGAGCCGUAUGGUUUAAGAAUCUUCAUGAUAUUGACUACAGUAAUUACAACAUUUUGGUCAACAAUGGAUCACCUAAACAAAGAUUUCAAACAUUUCAUUGAAGGAGAUCAAGAAAAUUAAAUACUGAUCAAGAGCCCACC